rnacentral:rRNA from 1 species
UGCCAGCCGCCGCGGUAAUACGGAGGGUGCAAGCGUUGUUCGGAAUUACUGGGCGUAAAGCGCGCGUAGGCGGCUAUUUAAGUCAGAUGUGAAAGUCCACGGCUCAACCGUGGAAGUGCAUUUGAAACUGGAUGGCUUGAGUACUGGAGGGGAAAGUGGAAUUCCGAGUGUAGGAGUGAAAUCCGUAGAUAUUCGGAGGAACACCAGUGGCGAAGGCGGCUUUCUGGACCAAUACUGACGCUGAGAUGCGAAAGCGUGGGGAGCGAACAGGAUUAGAUA